rnacentral:rRNA from 1 species
AUGAUUACAAAUGCCCAAAAAAGUGGCCUAUUAGUGGGUCUUGCUUCUGAUCUGAUACCUAAUGGGGUGGCAGUUCUUCAAUACGCUGACGAUACUAUUAUCUGCCUAGAACAUGACAUUGACAAAGCAGUCAACUUGAAGAUGCUUCUUUACAUGUUUGAAUUGAUGUCGGGGCUUAAGGUGAAUUUUCAAAAAAGUGAGAUUCUUACUGUGGGGGGUGAUGAGAAUGUGGUGAAUAUGUAUGCGGACCUGUUUAACUGUGAGGUGGGCAGCUUCCCUAUUAAGUACUUGGGGAUGCCUGUUAGCUACACCAAUCUCAGAAACUCAGACUAG